UGCAGUCGAACGGUCUCUUCGGAGGCAGUGGCAGACGGGUGAGUAACGCGUGGGAACAUACCUUUCGGUACGGAACAACAGUUGGAAACGACUGCUAAUACCGUAUACGCCCUAUGGGGGAAAGAUUUAUCGCCGAGAGAUUGGCCCGCGUUGGAUUAGCUAGUUGGUGAGGUAAUGGCUCACCAAGGCGACGAUCCAUAGCUGGUCUGAGAGGAUGAUCAGCCACACUGGGACUGAGACACGGCCCAGACUCCUACGGGAGGCAGCAGUGGGGAAUAUUGGACAAUGGGCGCAAGCCUGAUCCAGCCAUGCCGCGUGAGUGAUGAAGGCCUUAGGGUUGUAAAGCUCUUUCAGCGAGGAGGAUAAUGACGUUACUCGCAGAAGAAACCCCGGCUAACUCCGUGCCAGCAGCCGCGGUAAUACGGAGGGGGUUAGCGUUGUUCGGAAUUACUGGGCGUAAAGCGCGCGUAGGCGGACUGGAAAGUUGGGGGUGAAAUCCCAGGGCUCAACCCUGGAACUGCCUCCAAAACUAUCAGUCUAGAGUUCGAGAGAGGUGAGUGGAAUUCCGAGUGUAGAGGUGAAAUUCGUAGAUAUUCGGAGGAACACCAGUGGCGAAGGCGGCUCACUG
rnacentral:rRNA from 1 species